UUUUUGAGUUAUUAUGUAAAAAAAAAAACUUAAACACAAGGGACACAAGAUUUACAUGGAAAAUCCCAAAACCACGGGGAAAAAUCACGGACCACCACCAAUACAAUAUUCCACUAUAACAAAUCGUUGGUACA